rnacentral:rRNA from 1 species
UACGUAGGGGGCUAGCGUUGUCCGGAAUCAUUGGGCGUAAAGCGCGUGUAGGCGGUCCGGUAAGUCCGCUGUGAAAGUCGGGGGCUCAACCCUCGGAUGCCGGUGGAUACUGUCGGGCUUGAGUACGGAAGAGGCGAGUGGAAUUCCGGGUGUAGUGGUGAAAUGCGUAGAGAUCCGGAGGAACACCAGUGGCGAAGGCGGCUGGCUGGACCUGACCUGACGCUGAGGCGCGGAAGGC